rnacentral:rRNA from 1 species
GGAGUAGGUGGCUCUGCAAGUCGGAUGUAAAAUCUCUCGGCUCAACCGGGAGGGAUCAUUCGAUACUGCCGAGCUUGAGGACAGCAGGAGGAGACGGAAUUCCCGGUGUAGUGGUGAAAUGCGUAGAUAUCGGGAGGAACACCAGUGGCGAAAGCGGUCUCCUAGGCUGUUACUGACACUGAGGCCCAAAAGCGUGGGGAGCAAACA